GUGUCAGCCGCCGCGGUAAUACAGAGACUGCAAGCGUUGUUCGGAUUCAUUGGGCGUAAAGGGUGCGCAGGCGGUCUGCUAAGUCGGAUGUGAAAUCUCACAGCCUAACUGUGAUGGGUCAUUCGAAACUGGCAGGCUAGAGGACUGGAGAGGAGACUGGAAUAGUCGGUGUAGCGGUGAAAUGCGUAGAGAUCGACUAGAACACCGGUGGCGAAGGCGGGUCUCUGGACAGUUCCUGACGCUCAGGCACGAAAGCCAGGGGAGCAAACGGGAUUAGAUACCCCAGUAGUCC
rnacentral:rRNA from 1 species